rnacentral:rRNA from 1 species
GACGAACGCUGGCGGCGUGCUUAACACAUGCAAGUCGAACGGAAAGGCCCUGCUUUUGGGGGGUGCUCGAGUGGCGAACGGGUGAGUAACACGUGAGUAACCUGCCAUUGACUGUGGGAUGACUUCAGGAAACUGGGGCUAAUACCGGAUAGGAUCUCCUGCUGCUUGAUGGGGGUUGGUAAGUUUCGGCGGUUGGGGAUGGACUCGCGUCGGAUUAGCUUGUUGGUGGGGUAGUAGCCUACCAAGGCUUUGACGCAUAGCUGGGCUGAGAGGGUGAUCAGCCACACUGGGACUGAGACACGGCCCAGACUCCUACGGGAGGCAGCAGUGGGGAAUAUUGGACAAUGGGCGAAAGCCUGAUCCAGCAAUGCCGCGUGAGUGAUGAAGGCCUUAGGGUUGUAAAGCUCUUUUACCCGGGAUGAUAAUGACAGUACCGGGAGAAUAAGCUCCGGCUAACUCCGUG